rnacentral:rRNA from 1 species
UACGUAGGGGGCAAGCGUUGUCCGGAAUCAUUGGGCGUAAAGAGCGUGUAGGCGGCCCGGUAAGUCCGCUGUGAAAGUCCAGGGCUCAACCCUGGGAUGCCGGUGGAUACUGUCGGGCUCGAGUCCGGAAGAGGAGUGUGGAAUUCCUGGUGUAGCGGUGAAAUGCGCAGAUAUCAGGAGGAACACCAAUAGCGAAGGCAGCUCGCUGGGACGUUACUGACACUAAGGCGCGAAAGCGUGGGGAGCGAACAGG